GCAGCUGGGGAGAUGGCGGUGCCCUGUACCUGCAACCCGCCUUAGCAGGAGUGAUAUCCCGCCCCGGGGGCAAACUGUAGGGCUGCCCUUUGCAAGUGGCGUUGACGUUUAGGUCUUGCGCAACAGAUCCUUAUGAAUCGUGUCAGGUCAGGAAUGAAGCAGCACUAAGUAAGAACUUCUGUGUGCCGUGAGGUAGCCUGGGCUGAGUUAACUACAAAGGUAACGCUUAUGGACUGUUUUCAAAGCGGGAUGCACG
rnacentral:SRP_RNA from 1 species